UUAAGUGAUCCACCUGGGAAGUACGUCCGCAAGGAUGAUACUCAUAGGAAUUGACGGGGGCUCGCACAACCGGUGGUACACGUGGUUCAAUUAGAUGCUACGCGAGGAACCUUACCUGGGCUUAAAUGCAGAACGACCUCCCGGGAAACCGGGAUUCCCUUCGGGGCGGUUUGCAAGGUGCUGCACGGCUGUCGUCAGCUCGUGCCAUGAGGUGUCGGGUUAAGUCCCUUAACGAGCGCAACCCAUGAUUGUUAGUUGCCAACAGGUAAUGCUGGGGACUCUAGCAAAACUGCCACCCCAAGCUGGAGGAAGGUGGGGAUGACGUCAAGUCAGCAUGGCCCUUAUGUCCAGGGCUACACACGUGUUACAAUGGCCGGCACAAAGGGCAGCUACCACGCGAGUGGAUGCUAAUCUCUAAAUCCGGUCUUAGUUCGGAUCGGAGUCUGCAAUUCGACUUCGUGAAGGUGGAAUCGGUAGUAAUCGCGCAUCCCCAACGGCGCGGUGAUACGUUCCCGAGCAUUGUACACACUGCCCGUCAAGCCAUGGGAGUUGGGGGUACUUG
rnacentral:rRNA from 1 species